rnacentral:lncRNA from 8 species
AUGUGCAGCCUGGUAGAGCCUCUCUCUCUUCCUCACUCUUCUCCUUCUCUUCUCUUUCUCUUCUUUUCCUUCUCUUCUCUUUCUCUUUCUCCUUCUCUUCUUCUCUCUUCUCUUCUCUUUCUCUUCUUCUCUCUUCUCCUUCUCUUUUUUCUCUUCUUCUCUUCUCUUCUCUUCUCCUUCUCUUCUCUUUCUUCUUCUCUUUCUCCUUCUCUUCUCUUCUCCUUCUCUUCUUCUCUCUUCUCCUUGAAGUUCCAGUGAAAGAAUCUCUUUCUCCACUUAUUCAAACAGGUGGACAAGCUUUAAAUGUUCUCUCUCUCCUGCCUUUCCUCAAAUCUCCCCUGCGUUUUGGCUUUGGCUUUUCCCUCUGUAUCAGUUCAGAUUCCUUCACACUCUUCUUAAAGAAGUUGUGACCAGCUCGUGUAGCAGUGGUAUGCUGACCUCCUGUAGACGUAAUCGCUUGCUGUUUCCUCUCUGCACUGUACAGGGUCGUCGGUCCGUCAGGGAUAAGUCAGUGUCGGUCCCCCUCCCCUAUUUCUCAGAUUGAAGUGCUUCGUCCUUUCACCUGAUGUUCUCUCCCUGACUGCAGUCGACCACUCCAGCCUCAGCGUUUUGGGUCUCAGCUCUUUAGAAGUGGCCCAGACCUCUGUACGUCCCUCCUUCAGUCCGUCCCGCCUUCUCCUCCUAUUCUCACACUGACUACGUUUGAUACAAGAGCCCCUCUUGAGGAAUUAGAGGGAUGCCUUUCUCUCACACUCUCACUCACUUCUCCCUCACUCAUUCCCCCCCGCUCCCUUUCUUAACUACUACAUUGAGGGCUUGUGUCCCCACCCUCACUCCUCUCCCUCUUAACUACUAUAACCCUUGCCUGUAAAGCCCCCCCUUCUCUCUAUCCCUCUGUUAUCUGUGUGCAGCACUCUGUGUUUGGGGUUGGAGCCAGGCUGCUUCUCUGAUAACCUGUGAAGGGAUUGAGCCUGUGGAGAGAGGGAGGGGGGAUUAGGAGAGAGGGAGAGAGGGGGAGAAGGAGAGAGGGAGUGUGUAUUUAAAGAGCUGCUAUGUGGCUGUGGUCUAAUCAGCAGACAGGGAUGGAGCAGAGGCUGCGUGGUGCCACUGACAUCCCCCACCAUGCUACAGACAACCCUAGUUGCUUAGACUAAUUCAUGUAAAGAUGGACAUUAGCCAGUGCUUUUAUUAUUUAACAAAGAUUUCUGUAAGGAAAGUGUAACAAGUGUUGGUAUUAUACUGUACUUACA